AUUGAACGCUGGCGGAAUGCUUUACACAUGCAAGUCGAACGGUAGAGGGGGCAACCCCUUGAGAGUGGCGAACGGGUGAGUAAUAUAUCGGAACGUGCCCAGUCGUGGGGAUAACGUAGCGAAAGUUACGCUAAUACCGCAUACGAUCUACGGAUGAAAGCGGGGGACUCGCAAGAGCCUCGCGCGAUUGGAGCGGCCGAUAUCAGAUUAGGUAGUUGGUGGGGUAAAGGCUCACCAAGCCAACGAUCUGUAGCUGGUCUGAGAGGACGACCAGCCACACUGGAACUGAGACACGGUCCAGACUCCUACGGGAGGCAGCAGUGGGGAAUUUGGACAAGUGGACGCAAGUCUGAUCCAGCCAUUCCGCGUGC
rnacentral:rRNA from 1 species